UAUGUUGAUUCUACCAAUCCAUGAGCAUGGGAGAUCUCUCCACUUUCUAUAGUCUUCCUCAAUCUUUCUUCAGAAGUUUAUAGUUUUCCUCUUCUAAACUUUUACUUGAAUGCCUACACCCAAAAUGUGGAAAGAGAACACAAGAAUAUCCAUGUCUACACUUAAGAGGGAGCCUUUCCCCACUCUACUGCCUCUUAAAAAGGAAUCCCAGAAGCAACCACCUCACUGGCUCCUUGAUUCUUCGGUACAUUGUCAUGUUUUGUUUUGUUUUUUUCUUUCCAGUUAUGGAGUCGCAGUUCUGGAUAAGGAAAUCAUCCAGCUUUCAGAGUACCUCAAAGAGGCCCUCCAAAGGGAGCUGGUACUGAAACAGAAAAUGGUGAUUCUCCAAGACCUGCUGUCUACCCUGAUUCGGGCCUCUGACAACUCUUGGAAGGUAAGGAAUAAAAUCUUUGAAUAAAACUCAUGGGCUUCUAUGUGUGCCCAUCUCAUUUUUCUUUGCACACCAUUCAUCAAGAGAGGACUGCUCCAGGUGCCAGUGGCUCAAGCCUACAAUCCUAGCUACUCAGGAGGCAGAGACAGGAAGAUCACAGUUCAAAGCCACCCAAAGG